UCUAUCUACAGUCACCUUGGCAAUCGACAAGGCAUUAAUUUUCACCUACUGCCGGUAGAGUAAAGUACUCGUCCAGAGAAAAUAAGAAGAACGGAAGGAGCAGACAACAAUUUAAAGGAUUUCCGACGUACGUCUAAAUAGAACAACAGAACGCAUAUAAACUUGUGUGUUAUAUAUUAACUUUUAUUUAAUAUCCCGGCGUGGUUGCACGUUUUAAUAAGUGUGAUAACAUAUUUCGUUAGAUCAUGUUAAGCUAUCAGACUGUCUUCAUUGGUUCUCAGCUCGAGGCACUUGUCCUCACAAUCUGCUUGGGUUAAAAAGUUAUUAGCAUUUCCACAGCAGCCUCUAUAUGAAAAAAGUGUGCAUUUGUUGGUCACUGAAUCAUAGGACCAUCUGUUGUUAAGAAUCAAGUAGAAUCUUCUAUCAAGUCCAUUAUCAGCAUGUGGCAAAUCGCAGUCCUCUGUGUGGGUAUUAACGAAAUAAAAGCUGAGUUUGCUUGAA